rnacentral:rRNA from 1 species
GACAAACGCUGGCGGCGUGCUUAACACAUGCAAGUCGAACGGAAAGGCCCUGCUUUUGUGGGGUGCUCGAGUGGCGAACGGGUGAGUAACACGUGAGUAACCUGCCCUUGACUUUGGGAUAACUUCAGGAAACUGGGGCUAAUACCGGAUAGGAGCUCCUGCUGCAUGGUGGGGGUUGGAAAGUUUCGGCGGUUGGGGAUGGACUCGCGGCUUAUCAGCUUGUUGGUGGGGUAGUGGCUUACCAAGGCUUUGACGGGUAGCCGGCCUGAGAGGGUGACCGGCCACAUUGGGACUGAGAUAGGGCCCAGACUCCUACGGGAGGCAGCAGUGGGGAAUAUUGCACAAUGGGCGGAAGCCUGAUGCAGCAACGCCGCGUGCGGGAUGACGGCCUUCGGGUUGUAAACCGCUUUCGCCUGUGACGAAGCGUGAGUGACGGUAAUGGGUAAAGAAGCACCGGCUAACUACGUG